GAAAUAUUUAAUAUUAAGCUUCUAACUUAAUCAUAGUGACUAAAAAUCAUUAAUAUUUCU
rnacentral:tRNA from 1 species